ensembl:lncRNA
CACAGUACAUACUAAAAAUGCUCAUGUUACUACUAAUAACACAAAUGGUAAUGUAAAAACGAAUGAGAAAAAAAAAAAAGGAACACAAAAAGAAGAAGUUGAAGUAAAAGUAGACAUAGAGGGAGAAGUUGAAGGUGAGACAGGAGCAGCAGACGUAGUUGGUAAGGACGAAUUGAAACAAAUAGAUGAAACAAAAAAUUUAAAAAGAAUGUUUAAAUUAUUGGAUGAUGAAAGAAAAAAAACAGUAAACGAGUUAAAUAAAAAAAUUACAAAAGUGAUAAAGAAAAAGAGUAACAAGAGUAAUGGUAAUGUAGAUUUGAAUGAAAUAAACGAAACAGAAGAAAAGAAAAGAGUAGAGUUAGAAAAUAUAAUUAAUGAAAUAAAUAUAGCUGUAACGAAAAAUAAUACGAUCCCUAAUAAUAGUAACAACACUGCUGCAACUUCUAAAUAUGCAAAAACGAAAUUAACUUGUGCCGAAAUAGAGAAUCGAAUUAAAGAAGUGAAAUUACAAAAAAAAAAAACAAAUACCAAAGAGGUGGAACAAAUAAAAGAAAUCGACACUUAUAUUACAUUUUUGGAAGAGCAAUUAUGUAUUGCUAAAAACUAUGACAAUUUUAAAACAUAUCAAAAUCAAUUAUAUGGUUUGAAAACACAAUGUAAAGAAGAAAUGCAAAAAAUAGAUCAAUAUUUAAAUACUUUAAAAGAGCAGGAAAAAACAUUAGCAUAUACAAAUAAAAUUAUAAAAAUGAAAGAAGAACAACAAGGAAUAAAAAUAAAUGCAUCUAAUGUGUUUAGUAAAGAAUAUGUGAUAAAGAAUGAUAAAUAUAAUAUGCUUACAAAACCUUUUAACUUUAUAAAAAGAAUUGCAAAUAAAUAUUGUGUUUUUAUAGAUAGGUUAAAUACAAAUGAAAAUAAAAGUUACAAUUUAUUGAUAGUAGGUUGUAAUGAAGAUAUAGAAAGUUGUAUAUCGUUUUUGGAAAAUAUAAACAAUAACGAAAGAAAUGUGGUACAAAUAAAUAAAAAUGUUGUUAAAAAUAUGUUUAACAUUGUAGAUGGUAAAAUAAAAAAAAUAGAAGAAGAUACGAAUGUUUUUAUACAAUUAGAUAGUAAUGAUUGUUUGUAUUAUUGUGGUAUGAAACAGGAUAUACAUAAAUUAAAAAAAUUAAUUGAAGAAGCUACCGAAGAACAUAAUUCUUAUGCAAAAUCUAUGACUAAAAGUAUUAAUUUGAAUUAUUUAAAAGCUAGAGGAUUUGAUAGGAGUUUAUUAAAGUCUAUAGAACAAAACACAAAUACAAUGAUUAGGAUUAAGUAUGAUGUAAAUACAAAAGAAGCAGUGGCUGAAGUGAAGGGAAAAAACAGUACAGAUAUAGAAGAGGCAGAAAAACAAAUUUGUAAUCUUGUAGAUAGUUUACAUACUAAGUCUAUUGAAUAUGGUAAAAAUGAAAGAUUUAACAUUGUUAGAAGAUGUGGUUACGAAUUGAAUGAUAUUAAAAACAAAUUAAAUGUAUUUGUUAUGAGAAAUGAUACUGGAUUUGAUUUUGUUGGUUCAGAAGAAAAUAUAAAAAAAGCACAAGAAGUAUUAGAUUAUGCAUUAAAUGUUAAACUUAUUACAUCUAUUAAAAAAACAUUAACAGAAGAAGAAUCUUAUUUAUUUAAUGCAAAUUUCCGUAAUCAAAUUAAAGCAAAAACAGGAGCAGAAGUAAAGAUAUAUAAUAAAGAUGAUUAUAAAGAAUUAAAUAUAAGUGGUAAUAAAACAGAUAUAGACAAUGCUUUACAAAUGAUAGAAGAAUUAUUAAGAGAAAAAAAAUGUACAGAGAUAGCAAUUAAUGAAGAUGUAAUAGCUUUAUUAUUAUCAGCCAAAGCACAAAAAAUAAAAGAUAUUGAAAAGGACACAUGUACUAGUAUACAAAUAAAUAAAAAUACAUAUGUAGCACAAAUAUAUGGUAGCGAGGCUAAUAUUAAAGCAGCAAAAGAUAUUUUAGAACA